UACGUAGGGGGGCAAGCGUUGUUCGGAAUUACUGGGCGUAAAGCGUGCGCAGGCGGUUGUGCAAGACCGAUGUGAAAUCCCCGGGCUUAACCUGGGAAUGGCAUUGGUGACUGCACGGCUAGAGUGUGUCAGAGGGGGGUAGAAUUCCACGUGUAGCAGUGAAAUGCGUAGAGAUGUGGAGGAAUACCGAUGGCGAAGGCAGCCCCCCUGGGAUAACACUGACGCUCAUGCACGAAAGGCGUGGGGGAGCAAACAGG
rnacentral:rRNA from 1 species